rnacentral:rRNA from 1 species
AGAAUCAACGCUGGCGGCGUGCCUAACACAUGCAAGUCGAACGCGAAAGGGACUUCGGUCCUGAGUAGAGUGGCGAACGGGUGAGUAACGCGUGGGUGACCUACCCUCGAGUGGGGGAUAACGUUCCGAAAGGGACGCUAAUACCGCAUGACAUUCCGGGUUUGAAGACCUGGAAAUCAAAGCCGGGGACCGCAAGGCCUGGCGCUAGAGGAGGGGCCCGCGUCUGAUUAGCUAGUUGGCGGGGUAAUGGCCCACCAAGGCGACGAUCAGUA